GUUAAUGGUUUAGGUGUUUAGUGUGAGAUCAGGAGUUAAUGGUUUAGGUGUUUAGUGUGAGGAGUUAAUGGUUUAGGUGUUUAGUGUGAGGAGUUAAUGGUUUAGGUGUUUGGUGUGAGAUCAGGAGUUAAUGCUUUAGGUGUUUGGUGUGAGAUCAGGAGUUAAUGGUUUAGGUGUUUAGUGUGAGGUCAGGAGUUAAUGGUUUAGGUGUUUAGUGUGAGGAGUUAAUGGUUUAGGUGUUUGGUGUGAGAUCAGGAGUUAAUGCUUUAGGUGUUUGGUGUGAGAUCAGGAGUUAAUGGUUUAGGUGUUUAGUGUGAGGUCAGGAGUUAAUGGUUUAGGUGUUUAGUGUGAGGAGUUAAUGGUUUAGGUGUUUGGUGUGAGAUCAGGAGUUAAUGCUUUAGGUGUUUGGUGUGAGAUCAGGAGUUAAUGGUUUAGGUGUUUAGUGUGAGGUCAGGAGUUAAUGGUUUAGGUGUUUAGUGUGAGGAGUUAAUGGUUUAGGUGUUUGGUGUGAGAUCAGGAGUUAAUGCUUUAGGUGUUUGGUGUGAGAUCAGGAGUUAAUGGUUUAGGUGUUUAGUGUGAGGUCAGGAGUUAAUGGUUUAGGUGUUUAGUGUGAGGAGUUAAUGGUUUAGGUGUUUAGUGUGAGGAG